GCUGGGCACAGUGGCCUAUGCCUGUAGUCCCAGCUACUCAGGAGGCUGAGGCAGGAGGAUCACUGGGACCCAGGAGUUCUGGGCUGUAGUGUGCUAUGUUAUCGGGUGUCCAUACUCAGUUCAGCAUCAGUAUGGUGACCUCCUGGGAGCAGGGACCACCAGGUUGCCUCUGGAGGGGUGAACUGGCCCAGGUCAGAAACGGAGCAGGUCAAAACUCCUGUGCUGAUCAGUAGUGGAACCGCGCCUAUGAAUAGCCACUGCACUAUAGCCUGGGCAACACAGUGAGACCACAUCUCU
rnacentral:SRP_RNA from 1 species